rfam:Oryza rufipogon genomic scaffold, chr01
UAUAAGUGCAGCCAUGACUUUCCAUGCAUAACUUUAAUCGUCCGUCUUAUUUGAAAUUUUUUUAUAAUUAAUAUUUUUGUUAUUAUGAGAUGAUAAAACAUGAGUAGUACUUUAUGCGUGACUUAUGUUUUUAAAUUUUUUUAAAAAAAUUUUCAAAUAAGACGAACGAUGAAAUUUGUGCAUGGAAAAUUAUGGUUGCACUUAAA